UACGUAGGAGGCAAGCGUUGUCCGGAGUUACUGGGCGUAAAGGGCCCGCAGGCGGUGGAGUAAGUUUGGAGUGACAGUUCCCAGCUUAACCGGGAAAGGACUUCGAAAACUGCUCGACUUGAGGACUGGAGAGGAAGGCGGAAUUCCGGGUGGAGCGGUGAAAUGCGUAGAGAUCCGGAGGAACACCGACGGCGAAGGCAGCCUUCUGGAAAGUACCUGACGCUGAGGGGCGAAGCUAGGGGAGCGAACGGG
rnacentral:rRNA from 1 species